UCACUAGUGAAGGCAACUAAC
rnacentral:miRNA from 1 species